rnacentral:rRNA from 1 species
GACAGAGGUGCCGAGCGUUAGGCGGAAUCACUGGGCUUAAAGCGUGUGUAGGCGGAUCGUUAAGUGCCUUGUGAAAUCCCACGGCUUAACCGUGGAACUGCUUGGCAUACUGGCGGUCUUGAGCAACCUAGGGGCGAGCGGAACAAAUGGUGGAGCGGUGAAAUGCGUAGAUAUCGGGAGGAACACCUAUGGCGAAGGCAGCUCGCUGGGACGUUACUGACGCUGAGACGCGAAAGCGUGGGGAGCAAACAGG